UCGUAUAAAAAUUUCAAAUUAGAAAUAUACAAUUUACAACAAUAAUUUUUCUUAUGAUUCAGAAACUGCAAAUUAUUAAUUCUUUCAGAUCAUCUUUGCAAUACAAUGAUAUAAAUCUCAUCAGCCGAACGUAUGGACAAAGCAAAUUCAAAGAUUGGAUUAAAGUAUCUUAUAAAUCGGUGUGGUUGAUAUGCGCGUCGAGGCAAUGUAGGACCUAAAGAUUUCUUUGACGUUUCGAAAUGGCGGAUAGAAUAUUUUAAUUAUAGAAAUAAGAGCUACUAUAUGUCGCUUAUGAAGCUUUAACGGAUUGCGCGGUCUGCACGCCGGCUUGGGUCACGACGGGAGUAGAAGAUGAAAUAUUCAAGUGCUUUCCAUUAACGGGACCGGUUUAUACUUAUCAAGGCUAAAGUCAAAGGGGUGGUUCGGCCAGUCACGCUUCGGUAGAAAAUAAAGGGUAGCUGGUUUCUGCCUUUGCAGCAUCGGACAGCCCCGAACAGACAGAAGGUGGACAAAAAGUGUCAAUCGUGUCGACGGAUUGGUCAAUGGCCUACGAUUAUUUCAUGUCUCUAUUAUAUCUUUCAAAAUAAAGAGUGGAAUGAAGAGCGGAAAAGAAAUGAACCGAAGUUGGCUGUGAUGGAUUACGGAUAACGGUUGAUGGACAAUGGACCCAGGAGAACAGGUCGGUAGAAAUAAGCGGAAGAGAGCGGGUUGGUACAGCUCCCGUAUGGGGCGUAAUAGUUUAAUUCAUAUGUAAAUGGAGUGGCGAAGCACGGGAGAAAAGUCGCAGGACUACGUGGAAAUGGCGUCCACGUCCUUUAUCCGUCUUCGUCCAUUCUUUUUUGAUAUAUCUCUGAG